GGCAAGUGGUCCUGACGAGACCCUUGACCUCCAGCCCCAGCCCUUGAGUCCCAAGCCAGGGCUGCUUUCUUCCAUUGAGGGGUCACUCAGGUCCCUGAAGGAAGACAAGUCUCUGGGCAUCACACCUAUGACCUGGGACUUCUUCCUGACACCGGAUCUCGCCAGUGUUCCUGUGCAAGGCCCUGCCUGGGGAAGCUCAAACGUCACAUCAUGGCUCUGCUGGCCAGUGCCCUGCCCGGCGACUGCCGGAGGAGCAGAGAAGAGGGGCUGGGGAAGGGUCACAGCUCAGGUCAGACUCAUGUCGAAUGCCACCCCUCAGAGGCCUGGGAGGGGCUGCAGGCUUCAUAGGUCUUGCUUUGACAACCAGGCCUGUAUCUCUGAAUGAUGAGCUUUUUGAUUUUAAAGUCACAUUUAUUAUGUUGGUACAAAAGUAAUUGUGGUUUUUGCCAUUAAAAGGAAUGGCAAAACCCGCAAUUACUUUUGCAUCAACCUAAUAUUAAUAACCCAUUUUGGUCUGGCAUCAUGCUAACCUCUUACCAGCGCCAAGCACCUUACACAUAUCAUUUCCUCUUCACAGUAGCCCCAUAAGGUAACUAUACAAGGUGUGCUAUUGUCCACACCUAACAGUGGAGGAAACUGAGCCACAGAGAGGUCAAAGUUCUGGCCCAUAGUCGUACAACUGAAAUCCAGGCAUGCCCUUAGCCCCAAAGACAUGCAUCAUCUAACUGCCCUGACAGGCAGUCUCGGUACUAUUAUGCGCCGUUUUGCAGGUGGGGCUCUUGUGGCUGUGCAGAGAAGUUAAGUAAUUUGUCCAAUGUCACACAGCUGGUAAAUUGGCAGAGCCUUUGGAAUCAGCUACACCCUAAAGCUUUCUUUCUUAACCUUUACAUUUAUUGCUUCAGCUGCAAAAGCAAAUUAAGAGUCAACAAGACUUAGUGGUGGGGGGAGAUGGUUAGACUGCUGAGAAUGAAAACCUUCAAUGAGCCCUUCCAAGUUCCUUUGAGGACCAUGUGGCCUCAUUCCUGGGCUAAGUUCAGACCAUGCUCGUCUCUUGCCUGAAGUUGGCUCCCAGAGUCCCCCAGUGAGGACUGAUCACGAACUCCAUCCAGACACUGCCCAUCUUAGGAGGAACUUCAACUAGACACAUGCACACAGUGUCGUAGUUUCACUGUUCUUCCUUUUACUUAGAAGGAAUGGGGAACUGCCCAGAAUCCUGGACAAGAGCAUAGGCUUUGGAGCCAAACAGCCACAGGUUCAAAUUUCUACUUUACUACUUACUAGCUGUGUGACCUUGGGCAAGCUGCUUAACCUCUCUGAGCCCAGUAUCCUCUAUAAAAUGGGGGUAAUAAGAGUAUCUACCUCACUGGAUUUGGGUGGUAAAUGAGAGAAUACAAGUAAGAUAUUUAGCACUGUCCCUGGCUUAGAGUAAGCACUCAAUAAAUAUAGCUAUGACAAUUGUUAUGGUUAUGAAGUCAGAAAUAAUGGCAUCCAAUCCCAGAAGCAUAUGAUACUGCCCACUGUGUUCUAACCAGAAGAAUGGCUAAUAAGAGCUCUUCUCAUGUGCCAGGCACCAAUCUUUUUUUUUUUUUUUUUUUUGAGACGGAGUCUCGCUCUGUCACCCAGGCUGGAGUGCAGUGGCACGAUCUCGGCUCACUGCAACCUCUGCCUCCCGGGUUCAAGCAAUUCUUCUACCUCAGCCUCUUGAGUAGCUGGGA
rnacentral:lncRNA from 1 species